UAGGGAAUCUUCCGCAAUGGGCGAAAGCCUGACGGAGCAACGCCGCGUGAGUGAUGAAGGUCUUCGGAUCGUAAAACUCUGUUAUUAGGGAAGAACAAAUGUGUAAGUAACUAUGCACAUCUUGACGGUACCUAAUCAGAAAGCCACGGCUAACUACGUGCCAGCAGCCGCGGUAAUACGUAGGUGGCAAGCGUUAUCCGGAAUUAUUGGGCGUAAAGCGCGCGUAGGCGGUUUUUUAAGACUGAUGUGAAAGCCCACGGCUCAACCGUGGAGGGUCAUUGGAAACUGGAAAACUUGAGUGCAGAAGGGGAAAGUGAAAUUCCAUGUGUAGCGGUGAAAUGCGCAGAGAUAUGGAGGAACACCAGUGGCGAAGGCGACUUUCUGGUCUGUAACUGACGCUGAUGUGCGAAAGCGUGGGGAUCAAACAGG
rnacentral:rRNA from 1 species